rnacentral:rRNA from 1 species
CCAGACUCCUACGGUAGGCAGCAGUGAGGGAUCUUGCGCAAUGGAGGAAACUCUGACGCAGCGACGCCGCGUGGGUGAUGAAGGCCUUCGGGUCGUAAAGCCCUUUUAUGGUGGGAAGAGAAAGGACGGUAACCCCAUGAAUAAGCCCCGGCUAACUACGUGCCAGCAGCCGCGGUAAAACGUAGGGGGCCAGCGUAUAUCCGGAUUUACUUGGGCGUAUAGAGCGUUGAGGCGGCUCUGUCAGUUGGGCGUGAGAGUUCCCGGGGCUAACCCGGGGAAGCCGUUCAAGACUGCAGAGCUUGAAGGGCAGCAGAGGGAGGUGGAAUUCCCGGUGUAGCGGUGAAAUGCGUAUCAUAUCGGGAGGAACACCAGUGGCUAAUGCGGCCUCCUGGGCUGUACCUAGACGCUGAAUGCGAAAGCUAAGGGGAGCAAACGGGAUUAGAAACCCCGGUAGUCCUAGCUGUGAACGAUGGAUGCAAGAUGUAGGGGGUGUAGAUUCCCUCUGUGUCGUAGUUAACGCGUUAAGCAUCCCGCCUGGGGAUUACGGCCGCAAGGCUAAAAACUCAAACGAAUUGCACGGGGGCCCCGCACAAGCAGCGGAGCGUGUGGUUUAAUUCGAUGCUACACGAAGAACCUUACCUGGGCUUGACAUGUAGGUAGUAGCGAAGCGAAAGCGGAGCGACCCUUCGGGGAGCUUACACAGGUGCUGCAUGGCUGUCGUCAGCUCGUGCCGUGAGGUGUCGGGUUAAGUCCCGUAACGAGCGCAACCCCUGCUCUUAGUUAUACGUGUCUAGGAGGACGGCCGGCGGCAAGCCGGAGGAAGGUGGGGAUGACGUCAAGUCAGCAUGGCCUUUAUGUCCAGGGCUACACACACGCUACAAUGGCCGAUACAAUGGGUAG